UGGUCAUUACCGAGGCUUAGAAUGCGGUUUCUCAUUUUCUGUGGACAAGACCAUAAACAAAAAAUCCUCACUACAUUUUCUUUCUACUCCCUUGUUAGCAUUCAGCCAAUUGGGAACAUGU